rnacentral:rRNA from 1 species
CCGGAUUUAUUGGGAGUAAAGCGAGCUCAGGCGGUUUCUUAAUUCUGUUGUGAAAGGCCCCGGCUCAACCUGGGAGGGUCAUUGGAAACUGGUAGACUUGAGUGCAGAAGAGGAGAGUGGAAUUCCAUGUGUAGCGGUGAAAUGCGUAGAUAUAUGUAGGAACACCAGUGGCGAAGGCGGCUCUCUGGUCUGUAACUGACGCUGAGGCUCGAAAGCGGGGGGAGCAAACAGGAUUAGAUACCCUGGUAGUCCACGCCGUAAACGA